rnacentral:rRNA from 1 species
GGACUACACGGGUAUCUAAUCCCGAUCGAUACCCAUGCCUUCGUACCUCAGCGUCAGUCUUCAAUAGUAACAUGCUUUCGCCCCUAAGCAACCCUCUAAGUUUCUAGGUAUUUUAACACUCUUCUUAUAGUAUUUGUUACUUCUUUUAACUCUAGUUUAGUAUUAUCUUUUUCACUCUUAUGUUAACUAAAAGAUUUACUAUACCGCCUACUUACCCUUUAGACCCAUUAAUUACGAAUAACGCUUGCCUCACACGUAUUACCGCGGCUGCUGGCAC